UGAAAAUGCAACCUCUCUGUUGAAUGCUGUGAAAUGUGAUCAAGAACAGAGCAAAGCAAGCUCAAACUUAAUAACAAAGGAAAAGAAUUUUAUUAAGCUACUACUACUAUCACUACUAUAUAAGAAAAAAAGAAAGAAAAACACACACAAGAUCAAAAAUGAAAACCUUCCAAAACAUUCCUCUUCCCACCACCCAACUCCAACAAACCACAGUGAGACACAUUUGGACCCUUCAUCACUAUUCAAUAUAAUCAAUACUGAGUCCAUCAGGGGAGAGAGGAGUCUCCCUUGCACCAUAGACCCCCCGGAAACACAGCUGCUACUCUCUGUGUUUCCAUGUCACACAUGGCACCGCCCGGAGAAAAAGGUUUGCCAGUGUGACCCUCUCCUUUCCAUGCACAGUGCUCUCACCACUGAUGCAUGGAUGGACAGACUGCUUUUAGGAUUUUUCCUUUUAAGGAUGCUCUGCCAAGAGGGAAAAAACAACAGUUCAGUUUUUUUCAUUUUUUGGGACCACAGUCCCCCCCAUUUUCUUCCUCCCCUGGGGCCGAGGGUCUCAGGAACAGAGAUCUUCUCUUCUUCUCUGAAGACGGGGGGCAUCACCACAAACCUCCCCAACGUUUCUCUGUUCGCUCCACUCCUGUGUUUUCUUCAGCUGCUGAAGCAGGUCUCUUGGCUCACGGGCAUCCUCCUAAAAUACAGUCUCUCUCUCUCGGAGGAGAAAAAUCAGUUCAGUCCAUGGCUAACAAGAAAAAGUCCAGCCAGAAGCCACUCCACCAUCUCCUUCCACCCAGACUUUCUCUUCCUAACAUCUCGGGUCCCAGGCUGUCUCUCUUCCUCUCUUUCAAGCCGAGGGGGAGUAAAAUUUCACAAAGCUUUCAUUUCUCAAGGGAGGGUUAAAAGUCCCGAUUCCCUGGCUGUCUCUCUGCCCAGAUCUCCGGCUCCCACCUGGGAGCUGGGCACCUUGCGGCCUUGGGGCCCCCCCCGGCUCUCCUCUUCCCCGCGGUACUGCUGGCAAACCGUCGCUGUCCCUUUUGAGAGAGACACUCUGGGGGGGGAACGGAGAUGUCCCAGAUUUUUUCCACCCUUCCAUCUGCAGGGGCCAGCCCGGUUCCAGUCCCUCCACCCUUCGGCCUUACCUCAGCCAGGCCUUGGGACUUCCCCUCCCCCACCCAGCGAGGGGCCGGGCAGGGGAGAGUCCCGCACCGCACCCUGACCGGAAC
rnacentral:lncRNA from 1 species